rnacentral:rRNA from 1 species
GAUUUAUUGCCCUAAGAGGAGCUCGCGUCUGAUUAGCUAGUUGGUGAGGUAAGAGCUCACCAAGGCAGCGAUCAGUAGCUGGUCUGAGAGGACGAUCAGCCACACUGGGACUGAGACACGGCCCAGACUCCUACGGGAGGCAGCAGUGGGGAAUUUUCCGCAAUGGGCGAAAGCCUGACGGAGCAAGACCGCGUGAGGGAGGAAGGCUCUUGGGUUGUAAACCUCUUUUCUCAGGGAAGAAGCUCUGACGGUACCUGAGGAAUCAGCCUCGGCUAACUCCGUGCCAGCAGCCGCGGUAAUACGGAGGAGGCAAGCGUUAUCCGGAAUUAUUGGGCGUAAAGCGUCCGCAGGUGGCGAUUCAAGUCUGCUGUCAAAGCACGGGGCUUAACUCCGUAAAGGCAGUGGAAACUGAAUAGCUAGAGUGCCGUAGGGGUAGAGGGAAUUCCCGGUGUAGCGGUGAAAUGCGUAGAGAUCGGGAAGAACAUCGGUGGCGAAAGCGCUCUACUGGACGGCAACUGACACUCAGGGACGAAAGCUAGGGGAGCGAAUGGGAUUAGAUACCCCAGUAGUCCUAGCUGUAAACGAUGGAUACUAGGUGUAGCUUGUAUCGACCCGAGCUGUGCCGAAGCUAACGCGUUAAGUAUCCCGCCUGGGGAGUACGCACGCAAGUGUGAAACUCAAAGGAAUUGACGGGGGCCCGCACAAGCGGUGGAGUAUGUGGUUUAAUUCGAUGCAACGCGAAGAACCUUACCAGGGCUUGACAUGUCCGGAACCCCGGUGAAAGCUGGGGGUGCCUUCG